UACGUAGGGGGCGAGCGUUGUCCGGAGUUACUGGGCGUAAAGCGCACGCAGGCGGUCUGUGAAGUUUGGAGUGACAGUUGGUGGCUCAACCACCAAAGUGCCUUGAAAACUGAUAGACUUGAGGGCUUCAGAGGGACACGGAAUUCCGGGUGGAGUGGUGAAAUGCGUAGAGAUCCGGAGGAACACCAAAGGCGAAGGCAGUGUCCUGGGGAGUACCUGACGCUCAGGUGCGAAAGCGUGGGGAGCGAACAGG
rnacentral:rRNA from 1 species